rnacentral:lncRNA from 1 species
CUUGGCUGAGCUGCUGCUGGGACGUCUGAGCCCAUAGCAAGGUGGUCACAGACAGUAGGGAGAAAGGGAACAGAAUAGUGUCUUCCACAAGCCCCACUUCGUAGCACACUCAGAGACCCUGACGCCAAGAAACCGUCUGUAUUUUCACAUCUUACCGCACAGCUGCAUUCCUCAUGUUUAAUUUAUGUUGGAGAUCUUUUGUGACAAGACCAACUUAUGUUUUAAAUGAAAUCAGUUCAUUUUAGAGCUUGGAAACCUCCUUCUCCGGUCCUGACCACUCACCCGGGCUCUGAUUCUGGAUUACCAGCUCUUCCCAGCUGCCUGCGCUUGGAAACAACUUCACCUCCUUAAAUUCACCAUGCCCUCGAGAAGUCCAUUAAUACCUCUCUCCCACAGACACACACACACAAACCCCCCAGGAAAGUAUUUCUUCUUCUAAAGCGUAAUGUUUUACCAGCAGUGACUCCACACAAUCUGACGCUUCUCUGUUCUCUAAUUGCUUACUUCGUGUGUCUCUUUUGCCUCCUGACUAGAUUGCAGUAUCUUGGAGGGAGGCAGUUCCGUGGAGCUAGAGGACCCUAGAGAGCCCUAAUAAGUGCCAAAUGCAAAAAGAUGGAAGUUGCCAAUUGAGAAAAUCCACAUAAAACACAGCUGAGCUUUUGGCCUGUAUAAAGUCAGCACACUGUUUCCUCCUGGGAGAGGUUCACAGCAUAUACUUUUGAGUUCCCGUUCUUCUCAGAGCUCAAGUUACUCCAGGAAGCAAUUGGGGUGAGAGAAAGGCAUGGGUCCAGCUGAACACAU